ACGAACGCUGGCGGCGUGCUUAACACAUGCAAGUCGAACGGAAAGGCCCUGCUUUUGUGGGGUGCUCGAGUGGCGAACGGGUGAGUAACACGUGAGUAACCUGCCCUUGACUUUGGGAUAACUUCAGGAAACUGGGGCUAAUACCGGAUAGGAGCUCCUGCUGCAUGGUGGGGGUUGGAAAGUUUCGGCGGUUGGGGAUGGACUCGCGGCUUAUAAGCUUGUUGGUGGGGUAGUGGCUUACCAAGGCUUUGACGGGUAGCCGGCCUGAGAGGGUGACCGGCCACAUUGGGACUGAGAUACGGCCCAGACUCCUACGGGAGGCAGCAGUGGGGAAUAUUGCACAAUGGGCGGAAGCCUGAUGCAGCAACGCCGCGUGCGGGAUGACGGCCUUCGGGUUGUAAACCGCUUUCGCCUGUGACGAAGCGUGAGUGACGGUAAUGGGUAAAGAAGCACCGGCUAACUACGUG
rnacentral:rRNA from 1 species